AAGCCCAGCGCUGAAUCCAUCGGCCACUGGUCGCUUGGAGUUGUAGCGUAUAGGUGCGGCUGUCUGAUCGUGUCGCGCACCCAAAGUCCCCUUGAGCGGGGCCACAGUCCGAAGAAGGUGCUAGACCUGUACGGGUGGCGAGACGGUUGGUUGGUCGCUCCUUGGAGUCGGGUUGCCUGGGAUCGCAGCCCAAAGUUGGUGGUAGACCUCAUCUAAGGCUAAAUAUGGCCACGAAACCGAUAGCAAACAAGUACCGUGAGGGAAAGUUGCAAAGAACUUUGAAGAGAGAGUUCAAGAGGGCGUGAAACCGCUGAGAUGGAAACGGAUAGAGUUGACGGAGCUCUGCUGCAUUCACCCGAUCGGCCUAGCGGUCCAAUGGCUUUGACUUCCUCGAUGAGGGCAAGGCUGCUGGUAACUGUUGGGUACUUGAUCGGUGUAUUUGCGGCUGGUAUGCGCUGAGGGCUUUGUGAGCGCAUGUCGACGGGCGUGGAGUGGACCAUACCUUUCCGGUGUGGAACCCUUCGCGCUCUUAGGCAUGUCGUUUGUAAAGUUUCAAAAGUGCCGUCUCCGCUAUGGUGCAUCGGUUUUGUCGAGCUGUUGUGGCUUCAGGCUGGUCGCAUGCGACCGUCGGUCGUCGUCAAUGGUCCGUCAAAGCACGGAUGCGCCGAGA
rnacentral:rRNA from 1 species